CAUCCUUCUUGGGUACUAGCACUACCGGUGAUGCCCAGGGGCUAUCUGAAUGUUCGAUAACCCCUAACUGUAACAUUUCCUCAAUUUCUUUCCUCAUGUGCUCCCUUACUGCUUCAGGGAUACGAUACAGAGUCUGUCUCAUAGGGAGCUGUCCUGGGGUCUCUACUCGGUGGGUAGCUAACAGAGUGUACCCUGGUAAAUUGGAGAAGGUAGCACCUUUU
rnacentral:lncRNA from 1 species